rnacentral:rRNA from 1 species
UGCAAGUAGAACGCUGAAGAGAGGAGCUUGCUCUUCUUGGAUGAGUUGCGAACGGGUGAGUAACGCGUAGGUAACCUGCCUUGUAGCGGGGGAUAACUAUUGGAAACGAUAGCUAAUACCGCAUAACAAUGGAUGACACAUGUCAUUUAUUUGAAAGGGGCAAUUGCUCCACUACAAGAUGGACCUGCGUUGUAUUAGCUAGUAGGUGAGGUAAUGGCUCACCUAGGCGACGAUACAUAGCCGACCUGAGAGGGUGAUCGGCCACACUGGGACUGAGACACGGCCCAGACUCCUACGGGAGGCAGCAGUAGGGAAUCUUCGGCAAUGGGGGCAACCCUGACCGAGCAACGCCGCGUGAGUGAAGAAGGUUUUCGGAUCGUAAAGCUCUGUUGUAAGUCAAGAACGGGUGUGAGAGUGGAAAGUUCACACUGUGACGGUAGCUUACCAGAAAGGGACGGCUAACUACGUGCCAGCAGCCGCGGUAAUACGUAGGUCCCGAGCGUUGUCCGGAUUUAUUGGGCGUAAAGCGAGCGCAGGCGGUUUGAUAAGUCUGAAGUUAAAGGCUGUGGCUCAACCAUAGUUCGCUUUGGAAACUGUCAAACUUGAGUGCAGAAGGGGAGAGUGGAAUUCCAUGUGUAGCGGUGAAAUGCGUAGAUAUAUGGAGGAACACCGGUGGCGAAAGCGGCUCUCUGGUCUGUAACUGACGCUGAGGCUCGAAAGCGUGGGGAGCGAACAGGAUUAGAUACCCUGGUAGUCCACGCCGUAAACGAUGAGUGCUAGGUGUUGGAUCCUUUCCGGGAUUCAGUGCCGCAGCUAACGCAUUAAGCACUCCGCCUGGGGAGUACGACCGCAAGGUUGAAACUCAAAGGAAUUGACGGGGGCCCGCACAAGCGGUGGAGCAUGUGGUUUAAUUCGAAGCAACGCGAAGAACCUUACCAGGUCUUGACAUCCCGAUGCUAUUUCUAGAGAUAGAAAGUUACUUCGGUACAUCGGUGACAGGUGGUGCAUGGUUGUCGUCAGCUCGUGUCGUGAGAUGUUGGGUUAAGUCCCGCAACGAGCGCAACCCUUAUUGUUAGUUGCCAUCAUUCAGUUGGGCACUCUAGCGAGACUGCCGGUAAUAAACCGGAGGAAGGUGGGGAUGACGUCAAAUCAUCAUGCCCCUUAUGACCUGGGCUACACACGUGCUACAAUGGUUGGUACAACGAGUUGCGAGUCGGUGACGGCGAGCUAAUCUCUUAAAGCCAAUCUCAGUUCGGAUUGUAGGCUGCAACUCGCCUACAUGAAGUCGGAAUCGCUAGUAAUCGCGGAUCAGCACGCCGCGGUGAAUACGUUCCCGGGCCUUGUACACACCGCCCGUCACACCACGAGAGUUUGUAACACCCGAAGUCGGUGAGGUAACCUUUUGGAGCCAGCCGCCUAAGGUG